UAGAUGCUACAUUAGCAUCAGUUCUCUCAGUUCUCUUCUCAUGACAGGCUUCCAUGAGAGGUUGAUUGAGAGAUGGUUCAUCCUAUCACUGCCAACAAUAUUCCAACCACGGCUCUUCAGGUGUUUCUGUGAAACAAACCACCUGGAUGACACAGAGCAGGGAGUAGGCGGGUCUCGGUGCCAGAAGAAUGAAAGGAGAGUUUCUGUCUAACCGGUUGAUGACGGAGUGCUGACAGCACUUCUUACCGAACAUGCCUUGGAUUUAUUUAAACGUUUCCUCAAACUCUUCAGACUAAUCAGCUCCCGAAAGUGACGCGGAAAAUAUCAUAAAAUAAUUAAGGGAAAACAAAUUCAACAUCAAAAUCAAUUAGAAAAGUGUUUUAUUCUAAACACAAAGAAACAUAAAUAUGUGACCAAAUAAAACUUCUUUGAAUAUUUCCAGUAAUUGUUCUGCAACAACAGAAGAUGUAAAUAGUUGCACAAUGCAAACAAAGAAUGAACUAUAGUGCGUGUGUGCGCGUGGAGGGGGAGGGGGUGUCGGCAGGUAGGACAGGUUAGGGCGAGGCGCGGGACAGAAAAGAGAGAGAGGGAGACAGAUUUACACCUCAGCUGCUUAUUUCACCUCGUCAGGAGAAGAAGAAGAAGAGAAAACAGGAUAAAAGAGGAGAAGAAGAAGUUGGUGUUUCCUCUAAAGACCGAAGAAGAAGAAGAAGAAGAAGAGCUGUUCAGAAUUAUCUCGCCCGAUUGGACGGCUUGCUUAGUGGUUGAUUGGUCCUCCUUUGCCCCGCCCUCCCGUGACUCAUCACGAUGUCAUCUAACAUCAGCGUCUCCCCCGACAACCCGUAUGGUCAGGUGACCAUCCCCCGGGCUAAACUCCGCCUCUCUGAUGACGUCUCCACGGUGAUAGCCAAUCCGGGGGCUCUUAGCAGCAACGACAGUAACCCAUACAGCGCGUCAAACUCCUCCCCCGCCCCGUACGUGGUAAAGGAGGCCGGCGGGGAGGACGAGGGGCGGGGGAGGUGCCCCGCCUGUUGCUACCGCUGCAGGAGGAGGAAGUGAUGUCACAGCGGCAGGAGGAUUGGGAUUGGCUUCAUUUCCGAAGACCAAAACGCUGCUUUCAUUAUGCUAACGUGUCUCCUCGCGUCCUAGCUCCUUGCAGCGAGGAUGUGAAGAAGAAGACGACAGGCAGGAGGAGGCAACGCAAACCAGUAGUCCCUGUUUCCACGGCGACCGUCCCUGUUGACUCUCUUCACGCCAUGUUUACACAGGACGCCUGUGCUUCCUCACCCUGCGCUCCUCCUUGACUCCUCGUCGCAAUAAUAUCAUCGUAGUAAUGAAAGGUUGUUGGCAGAAAAUAGAUUAUUAAAUAAUAAAAGCUUUUGUGAUUUUUUUUUUUCUUCCAGGAAAAGAAUAACCUUAUUUAUUAAUUAUUUCUGCUUAACUAGCCAACAUACACGAGAAUGCUGGGCAGGAAGUUGGCAUUUUUAUUUUUUGUUUAUUACUUUUAAGUCAAUAUUCUUUAUUGGGGAAAUUUAAUCUGAUCUUUUCUAAUCUAAAAGUGAUAACAUUUGUAAACAGUGUAUCAAUCCUUAAAGUUUAAUGAUGUCAUAAAUAUGAAUCUAAUGAUCACAAGAAUGAACUCAAUGACAACUUGUAAUGUUUUAUUGUAAUCUUUAUUUAUUUUCCAUCUUCAGAGGAAAUUAUUUAGAUUUCAGAAGUCUUUAUUCAGCAUAAUCAUGUUGAACAUUUUAGUAUGAAGGAGAUUUUAAAGUAUAAUUGUAUAGUAUAAAAGAUAUCCGUGCAAUCUAAAGAUGUAUAUGAAAUAAAGCAGUGAAUGUUUUUGAUUGGGCUCUUGUUGCUGCCGUUGUGAUUGGUGAUCAUGGUUCAGCCAAUCAGAGGCCGAGUAGGGCGGGCCGUAAAUCGAAUCGGCUGGAGAGAAAGAUUUAAAACAUGAAGCAGCAGAUUUUAAGGUUAAUCAAGAUGAAAAAAACGUGGAAAUCAAUGAAAAGCAGAGUUUCAUAUCUUAUUUUUCAAAUUAAAAAUGAUUUGUCAUAUCAAACAUUAAUUAGUAAUAUUUAUUGUUUGAAUGCUGCCCUAUUCCUGAAUUAAUAUAAAACAAAUUCAAUUUUUUUCGAGUUUAUUUUCAAAUCCUCUUAAAACUUAAACUUUUAAAUCCUUCUGAUUGCCAAUCUUUCAGCUACAGCUGAUGUUACAGAGGACAUUUCAGAACCUGAUAACAGGAUUUUAACACUGAAUAUCUUAGCUAAGAACUUUAAUACAUAUUUUAUCAGUCUUGCCUGGCGAGGGGCGCUAACCUCAAUCACCUGUUCUAGUUGGGGGAAGUACUCUCUCAAUGCAUGCAACAUGAAAUGUUUGGUAACGUUUUCUUUCAAAUAUAAAUGUUUCUUUUGUUUUAAACAGGCAUUGGGACAACCAGUGUCUUUCCCCUGUUUAAGGCAUUUUAAUAAACCAAUUGCAUUGGA